GAACUUAGGAUAAAUUAAUCCACAGACCUUCAAAGUCUCAAACAAGAGUACACUCUCUUAGUACCUGC
rnacentral:tRNA from 1 species